GUUGUUGUAAAUCCAGCAACCGGGUUUAGCAGCCUGAAAUUUUCCACAGCGCACAACCGCGGCAGCGGUUUUUUU
rnacentral:sRNA from 1 species